rnacentral:rRNA from 1 species
GGAAACUUGGGCUAAUACCGCAUAAUGCAGCGGCACCACAUGGUGACAUUCCGAUAACUAUAAGAGGAUCUUCGGAUCUCGCGCCUGAAGAGGAGCCUGCGGCAGAUUAGCUAGUUGGUAAGGUAACGGCUUACCAAGGCGACGAUCUGUAGCCGGCCUGAGAGGGCGGUCGGCCACACUGACACUGACAUACGGGUCAGACUCCUACGGGAGGCAGCAGUCGGGAAUUUUGGGCAAUGGGCGAAAGCCUGACCCAGCAACGCCGCGUGAAGGAUGAAAUC